rnacentral:rRNA from 1 species
AUUGAACGCUGGCGGCAUGCCUUACACAUGCAAGUCGAACGGCAGCACGGGUGCUUGCACCUGGUGGCGAGUGGCGAACGGGUGAGUAAUACAUCGGAACAUGUCCUGUAGUGGGGGAUAGCCCGGCGAAAGCCGGAUUAAUACCGCAUACGAUCUACGGAUGAAAGCGGGGGACCUUCGGGCCUCGCGCUAUAGGGUUGGCCGAUGGCUGAUUAGCUAGUUGGUGGGGUAAAGGCCUACCAAGGCGACGAUCAGUAGCUGGUCUGAGAGGACGACCAGCAGCACGGCUAAGGAGACAAGGAGCCACACCGUGAGGGAGGCAGGGGUGGGGAAUUUUGGACAAUGAGCGGAAGGGUGUUCCAGAAAAGCCGCGUGUGCGAAGAAGGCCUUUGGGUUGUGAAGCAAGUUUGUCCGGAAAGAAAUCCUUGGCCCUAAUACGGUCGGGGGAUGACGGUACCGGAAGAAUAAGCACCGGCUAACUACGUG